rnacentral:siRNA from 1 species
CUCAUCGAUCCUUGGCAAAGGGUA